rnacentral:tRNA from 1 species
CGGUUUGUAGUUUAAUAGGUAAAACAUAGUUCUCAUGAAGCUAGUAUUGCAGGUUCAACUCCUGCCGGACUGA